rnacentral:rRNA from 1 species
CCUGCAAGUCGAGCGGACAGAUGGGAGCUUGCUCCCUGAUGUUAGCGGCGGACGGGUGAGUAACACGUGGGUAACCUGCCUGUAAGACUGGGAUAACUCCGGGAAACCGGGGCUAAUACCGGAUGGUUGUUUGAACCGCAUGGUUCAAACAUAAAAGGUGGCUUCGGCUACCACUUACAGAUGGACCCGCGGCGCAUUAGCUAGUUGGUGAGGUAACGGCUCACCAAGGCAACGAUGCGUAGCCGACCUGAGAGGGUGAUCGGCCACACUGGGACUGAGACACGGCCCAGACUCCUACGGGAGGCAGCAGUAGGGAAUCUUCCGCAAUGGACGAAAGUCUGACGGAGCAACGCCGCGUGAGUGAUGAAGGUUUUCGGAUCGUAAAGCUCUGUUGUUAGGGAAGAACAAGUACCGUUCGAAUAGGGCGGUACCUUGACGGUACCUAACCAGAAAGCCACGGCUAACUACGUGCCAGCAGCCGCGGUAAUACGUAGGUGGCAAGCGUUGUCCGGAAUUAUUGGGCGUAAAGGGCUCGCAGGCGGUUUCUUAAGUCUGAUGUGAAAGCCCCCGGCUCAACCGGGGAGGGUCAUUGGAAACUGGGGAACUUGAGUGCAGAAGAGGAGAGUGGAAUUCCACGUGUAGCGGUGAAAUGCGUAGAGAUGUGGAGGAACACCAGUGGCGAAGGCGACUCUCUGGUCUGUAACUGACGCUGAGGAGCGAAAGCGUGGGGAGCGAACAGGAUUAGAUACCCUGGUAGUCCACGCCGUAAACGAUGAGUGCUAAGUGUUAGGGGGUUUCCGCCCCUUAUGCUGCAGCUAACGCAUUAAGCACUCCGCCUGGGGAGUACGGUCGCAAGACUGAAACUCAAAGGAAUUGACGGGGGCCGCACAAGCGGGGAGCAUGUGUUUAAUUCGAAGCAACGCGAAGAACCUUACCCUUGACAUCCUCUGACAUCCUAGAGAUAGGACGUCCCCUUCGGGGGCAAGAACAGGUG